CUGUAGCAUGCUGCAGCAGUGGUUGAUGAUUAACUAUAUAUCACUGGAGGCAGUCGUAAUGGUUGAUUCCUGUCUGAUAUCCAGGUAUUUGAUCUUAGAAGCUUGACAUGGUCUAGUCUGAAACUGAAGAUUGAUCCUAAUGCCGAUAAAUCAGAGGACUGUGACUUACGGGAAUUUCUUCCGGGCACUUCAGAUCACAGUAUGAUUGAGUGGGAAAAUAAACUUCUUCUUCUUGGUGGGCAUUUGAAGAAUUCUUCUGAUGCCAUGGUAGGUUUGUAUUUCUAAUUGUCAUU